GGUGGCUCAGUGGCAGAGUGCUUGCCUCACAUGCAAGAGGCCCUGGGUUCAAUUCCUCAGUACCA
rnacentral:tRNA from 1 species